GCGGCUUAAUUUGACUCAACGCGGGGUAAUUUACCAGGUAUAACAUGGUAUAAUAUUUUAUCAUGAUAGUGGUGCAUGGCCGUUUCCAAUGGAUGCUGUGAAGUAAUGAUUAAUUUCAACAAGAUGUGAGACCCUCAUUUAGACAGAUGUAGUGAUACAUAUGAAGGAGAGGAUUAAAACAGGUCCGUUAUGCCCUAAGAUAAUCUGGGUUGCACGCGCAAUACAAUAAUAUUUGAUAUUAUAAGGGAUAAUAUAAUGUAAGAUAUAUUUGAACAUGGAAUUGCUAGUAAAUUUUAUUUAAUAAGUAGAAUUGAAUGAGUCCCUGUUCUUUGUACACACCGCCCGUCGCUAUCUAAGAUGGUAUUAUCUAUGAACAAAUUUAUAAAGUGAAUAGAUAGUACUAGAUCUGAUAUAAGUCGUAACAUGGUUGCUGUUGGAGAACCAUUAGCAGGAUCAUAA
rnacentral:rRNA from 1 species